rnacentral:hammerhead_ribozyme from 1 species
AAGCGAAACCUCUGAAUAAACCAGAGGUCUGCCGGGUGUGGUUGCCCGGUACUGAUGAGCAGCCAAAC